rnacentral:rRNA from 1 species
CCUACGGGUGGCUGCAGUGGGGAAUAUUGGACAAUGGGCGAAAGCCUGAUCCAGCCAUGCCGCGUGUGUGAAGAAGGCCUUCGGGUUGUAAAGCACUUUCAGUGGGGAAGAAAGCCUUGGGGCUAAUACCCUCGAGGAAGGACAUCACCCACAGAAGAAGCACCGGCUAACUCCGUGCCAGCAGCCGCGGUAAUACGGAGGGUGCGAGCGUUAAUCGGAAUUACUGGGCGUAAAGCGCGCGUAGGCGGUCUGAUAAGCCGGUUGUGAAAGCCCCGGGCUCAACCUGGGAACGGCAUCCGGAACUGUCAGGCUAGAGUGCAGUAGAGGAAGGUAGAAUUCCCGGUGUAGCGGUGAAAUGCGUAGAGAUCGGGAGGAAUACCAGUGGCGAAGGCGGCCUUCUGGACUGACACUGACGCUGAGGUGCGAAAGCGUGGGUAGCAAACAGGAUUAGAUACCCGUGUAGUC